ACAAACAAUACACAUCAAGGAUGAAUUUGUCACCAAUAGCCCUCUACAUAUAAAUCUCAUAUCAUAAUAAGUUCAGCAAUGCUCUAUGCCAGGGGCGAUACGGCCACGCCUGGACUUCACAUACUCUAUGCCAGGGGCGAUACGUCCACACCUGGACUUCUCUUACUCUAUGCCAGGGGCGAUACGGCCACGCCUGGUCUUUCCAUCUCAUAUCAUGUCAUACAUGUCAUAUCGUGUCAUAUCAUGUCAUACUGAGGGCUAAUGGAUCAUCCAAUAUCCAUCCACAUCUUCAUCAUCG
rnacentral:lncRNA from 1 species